CAGUUGAUGGUCUAAGAUAGGAUGAUAGUUUUGGGGACUAUAGGUCCCUUAAUGGGUUAACUGA
rnacentral:tRNA from 1 species